rnacentral:lncRNA from 1 species
UUGCAACCUGGUUCUUUCAUCACAGCAGCCCGAUGUUCUAAGCAUUAAACAAUGGACUACCCAGUGGACCAAGUUGGUGGGAAGAUGGUUAGAGAGACAGCCGCUCGAAAUUGCGUG